rnacentral:lncRNA from 1 species
GAGAAAGUUGCUGUCCUUAACCAUUUUUUUUUUUUAAAUGGUAGUUUGGGCAAUAUAUAAUAAAAUUAACACAAAUUCUCUGAGUGAGCAGCAUCUUGAAGCAUAUUCUUCACAGUGUGUGCUGCUGUUCAAGAGACUCCAGAGCUGGUCCAGAGCUGGUGUUGCCCAUGCAGGCUGAGAUUGGUACCACAUUCAUCAUCUUGGGACUUUGUUAAAGAUGAGCUGUGCUUCAAGUGUUGAACUGGUAGCCAGCUGUAGGAAGCCAGUCCCUGGGUUAACUGAGGAAACUCUAGACAGCAAACCUGCAGGAGAAAAGCCAUGCUGUGUGUUUGUGCUACAUUUUGUCAAGCAAUGGCUGUGUGUUCACAGGACGUGCAAUAUGCAGUCACAUGGAGGACAGCCUGAAAUCAAAAUGGAACUGAAAUCUGAUUUGUCAUUGUCUGCUCCUUUUGGAGGAGUAAUGGGAACCAUCACCAUCAUUUGGGGUUUACGUGAGCCUUGUGCUGUUCCAUGACUUUAGUGCUCCUGACCUCUCUCCUCAAGAUUCCACACUCUACAGAAGCUUUCCUGCAGAGCUGUCGUCAGGAAUGAACCAAGCCUUUUCCAGAGUGUAGCAGUUUAUAAGUCAAUAAAGUGACUCUGACUUUCCA